rnacentral:ncRNA from 1 species
ACCGACCUUGCGGUGGGGAGUGACUUGAGCAAUGAAGGCCAACUGAGCUCAAGAUUGCCAACACCAAUUGAUAUAAUUCUAUGCGCUCGUGACCUACUUAGUCGACGAACGCAAUUUUUGAGGCC